rnacentral:lncRNA from 1 species
GGGGAUGUGCCAUAAGUUAGAGUGGAGGUCAGUAUCCAAACUAUUGGGGCUGCUGAAUCGAGUCGUACAGAGGUUGUUUCGAUCAUUGAGCUGAGCCAAGGAAUGGGAGAACAUAGUUCAACUACCCUCCACAUUCCUGUCGACAUUCCUUUGAUUGAGCCUUCCUCAGGUGCAGCUAAGGAUAUGCCAAGAGUCGAAG